rnacentral:rRNA from 1 species
AGGACGAACGCUGGCGGCGUGCUUAACACAUGCAAGUCGAGCGGAAAGGCCCUUCGGGGUACUCGAGCGGCGAACGGGUGAGUAACACGUGAGCAAUCUGCCCCUAGCUUCGGGAUAGCUCCGGGAAAACCGGAUUAAUACCGAAUACGACUACGGCCGACAUCGGCUGUGGUGGAAAGUUUUUUCGGCUAGGGAUGAGCUCGCGGCCUAUCAGCUUGUUGGUGAGGUAACGGCUCACCAAGGCGACGACGGGUA